ACCAGUACCGUGAGGGAAAGGCGAAAAGAACCCCGGCGAGGGGAGUGAAAAAGAACCUGAAACCGUGUACGUACAAGCAGUGGGAGCCUCUUUUAUGGGGUGACUGCGUACCUUUUGUAUAAUGGGUCAGCGACUUAUAUUCUGUAGCAAGGUUAACCGAAUAGGGGAGCCGAAGGGAAACCGAGUCUUAACUGGGCGUUAAGUUGCAGGGUAUAGACCCGAAACCCGGUGAUCUAGCCAUGGGCAGGUUGAAGGUUGGGUAACACUAACUGGAGGACCGAACCGACUAAUGUUGAAAAAUUAGCGGAUGACUUGUGGCUGGGGGUGAAAGGCCAAUCAAACCGGGAGAUAGCUGGUUCUCCCCGAAAGCUAUUUAGGUAGCGCCUCGUGAAUUCAUCUCCGGGGGUAGAGCACUGUUUCGGCAAGGGGGUCAUCCCGACUUACCAACCCGAUGCAAACUGCGAAUACCGGAGAAUGUUAUCACGGGAGACACACGGCGGGUGCUAACGUCCGUCGUGAAGAGGGAAACAACCCAGACCGCCAGCUAAGGUCCCAAAGUCAUGGUUAAGUGGGAAACGAUGUGGGAAGGCCCAGACAGCCAGGAUGUUGGCUUAGAAGCAGCCAUCAUUUAAAGAAAGCGUAAUAGCUCACUGGUCGAGUCGGCCUGCGCGGAAGAUGUAACGGGGCUAAACCAUGCACCGAAGCUGCGGCAGCGACGCUGAUGCGUUGUUGGGUAGGGGAGCGUUCUGUAAGCCUGUGAAGGUGUGCUGUGAGGCAUGCUGGAGGUAUCAGAAGUGCGAAUGCUGACAUAAGUAACGAUAAAGCGGGUGAAAAGCCCGCUCGCCGGAAGACCAAGGGUUCCUGUCCAACGUUAAUCGGGGCAGGGUGAGUCGACCCCUAAGGCGAGGCCGAAAGGCGUAGUCGAUGGGAAACAGGUUAAUAUUCCUGUACUUGGUGUUACUGCGAAGGGGGGACGGAGAAGGCUAUGUUGGCCGGGCGACGGUUGUCCCGGUUUAAGCGUGUAGGCUGGUUUUCCAGGCAAAUCCGGAAAAUCAAGGCUGAGGCGUGAUGACGAGGCACUACGGUGCUGAAGCAACAAAUGCCCUGCUUCCAGGAAAAGCCUCUAAGCAUCAGGUAACAUCAAAUCGUACCCCAAACCGACACAGGUGGUCAGGUAGAGAAUACCAAGGCGCUUGAGAGAACUCGGGUGAAGGAACUAGGCAAAAUGGUGCCGUAACUUCGGGAGAAGGCACGCUGAUAUGUAGGUGAGGUCCCUCGCGGAUGGAGCUGAAAUCAGUCGAAGAUACCAGCUGGCUGCAACUGUUUAUUAAAAACACAGCACUGUGCAAACACGAAAGUGGACGUAUACGGUGUGACGCCUGCCCGGUGCCGGAAGGUUAAUUGAUGGGGUUAGCGGUA
rnacentral:rRNA from 1 species